rnacentral:rRNA from 1 species
CCUACGGGAGGCAGCAGUGAGGAAUAUUGGUCAAUGGGCGCGAGCCUGAACCAGCCAAGUAGCGUGAAGGAUGACUGCCCUACGGGUUGUAAACUUCUUUUAUAAAGGAAUAAAGUUAUCCACGUGUGCCUUUUUGUAUGUACUUUAUGAAUAAGCAUCGGCUAACUCCGUGCCAGCAGCCGCGGUAAUACGGAGGAUCCGAGCGUUAUCCGGAUUUAUUGGGUUUAAAGGGAGCGUAGAUGGGUUGUUAAGUCAGCUGUGAAAGUUUGCGGCUCAACCGUAAAAUUGCAAUUGAAACUGGCAGCCUUGAGUACAUUUGAGGUAGGCGGAAUUCGUGGUGUAGCGGUGAAAUGCUUAGAUAUCACGAAGAACUCCGAUUGCGAAGGCAGCUUACUAAGCUGCCACUGACAUUGAUGCUCGAAAGUGUGGGUAUCAAACAGGAUUAGAUACCCUAGUAGUC